rnacentral:tRNA from 1 species
GCUUUGGUGGUUCAGUGGUAGAAUUCUCGCCUGCCACACGGGAAGCUCAGGUUCAUUUCCCAGCCUAUGCA